GCCGGGUGUGGUGACGUGCACCUGUAGUCCCAGCUACUCAGGAGGCUGAGGCAGGAGAAUUGCUUGAACCCAGGAGGCAGAGGUUGCAGUGAGCGGAGAUCAUGCCACUGCACUCCAGCCUGGGCGACAGAGCAAGACUCUGUCUCUA
ensembl:misc_RNA Metazoa_SRP Metazoan signal recognition particle RNA